rnacentral:lncRNA from 1 species
UCGUUUAACUCAUUCGAUAACUGUUGUUUGUCUUUAUUGAUACGGGGACAUACAGUAAUGUCAUGAAUUGGUGAGUAAUUCCUUGAUUAAGCAAUACCACCUAGGGAUAGGGGUAGGACGAUCAAUUGUUUUUCACUUUUGCUCUAUAAUGCUUUAUUAAUUGCUAGGGGAGGCUAGGGAUAACAAGCUAGUAAUUAGUAAUAGGCUCUUUUCACCGAGGGAUCGGGUUAAGGGUAGGCCAAGAAAGUUGCAUAACAAUUAGUUAAUCAAGCAAAUAAACCAAGAGGAGUAAAUAAGAGAGAGUGGUUGGGUGAAAUCUGAAUCCUAGCAACAAAUCCAUUUCAUAUUAUCACCAUCCUCCAUCCACUUUUGUGUUUAACCUCAAUUGAUCAAAUUCCAUUCAUGUUUAUUUUUACGUGCUUUAAAUUCAAAAAUCCCAAAAUAUUAUUUUUAUAGUCUUGAUUGGUUAAGCAAAAGCACAACAGUUUAGUGCCGUGAGUCUCUUGGGAAAACGAUACUUGGACUUACCAUUUAUUAUUACUUGAUACGAUUUGGUACGCUUGCUAAUUU